rnacentral:rRNA from 1 species
CCUACGGGGCGCAGCAGUGAGGAAUAUUGGUCAAUGGCCGGAAGGCUGAACCAGCCAAGCCGCGUGAAGGACGAAGGUGCCAAGCAUUGUAAACUUCUUUUGUCAAGGGACAAAAUCAGGCUCGAGAGCCUGACCGAGGGUACUUGAAGAAAAAGCAUCGGCUAACUCCGUGCCAGCAGCCGCGGUAAUACGGAGGAUGCGAGCGUUAUCCGGAUUUAUUGGGUUUAAAGGGUGCGUAGGCGGGCUGUUAGGUCAGCGGUAGAAGACAGGGGCGCAACCCCGGCGAGCCGGUGAAACAGGCCGUC